rnacentral:rRNA from 1 species
UGGGGAAUAUUGCACAAUGGGGGGAAACCCUGAUGCAGCGACGCCGCGUGAGCGAGGAAGUAUUUCGGUAUGUAAAGCUCUAUCAGCAGGGAAGAAAAUGACGGUACCUGACUAAGAAGCCCCGGCUAACUACGUGCC